rnacentral:tRNA from 1 species
AGAGAACGACUUCUCCUCCGCAAGACGCCCACACAAGACACCUGCAUUUCAGAAACAGAGAACAGAGGCGGCAGACACGCAUGUCAGCCGCGGAUCUGUAGUCAGUUCCAUCUCAUGGGGCUGUAGCUCAGCUGGGAGAGCACCUGCUUUGCAAGCAGGGGGUCACCCGGUUCGAUCCCGGUCAGCUCCACCAGUUGUUAAUUGGACGCGGGUCCGUCCGCGGAGAGCAGAUCAAGAAGCGCACCUCCGUGUGCGCACUCCUGUAAAAGCAGACGGGUCUGUAGCUCAGGUGGUUAGAGCGCACCCCUGAUAAGGGUGAGGCCGGUGGUUCGAGUCCUCCCAGACCCACCAUCAAGACCUACGCGGAUCCGUCCGCGAAGAGCGGAGAUCAAGACCGCAACAUCCAUGUUGCGGACUCCUCACAGACAGCCGCUUCGUCGAAGCGCUUCCGGUUUCUGAAUUGCACACGCACACGAAUUUAUGCCAACGGGCUAUGAAGCCCGCCUGGUGUUCUUUGAAAACUUGGGAUGUGACAAGCGUCUUGACUCGAUCGAGCCAAGAUGUGUCGUUGAGGCAUAUAGGCGAAACAGUUGUGGAUCCGUAUCACCCUCGCGCCACCCGCCGCACGUAAGAGCGGCCGGAAAGGCGUCUUGGGGUUAUA